rnacentral:lncRNA from 1 species
UCAGGAAUCACAAGGCCAAUGGUUUGAGGCGAGUUUUGACUUACAUAUAAAUCCAGCAUGCACAAGUCAUGAAGUUCACAUUUCAUGUUAAUAUAAAGGAAAAAAAUAGUAUCCAUGAUCUGAUCAUAGUUUAAAAGGCGCACUUUAAGCACGCCUAGGCUCAAGGUGCCACCACUCCCUAGUUAUAGCAACUUGCUUGCCAAGAUACACACCUUCUUGAAAAGGUGUGCCUUGUCAGCUUUACUCUUCCUUUUUAAACACUUUUAUUCUUGAAAUUUCUAAUUAUAUACUGAAAUUUAUAUAAUUUCAUUACUUUUUUGUUGAAUGAUUCUUUUAAAUGUUUCAAAUCUUAAAUUUUUUAUUGAUCGGAUUAGCUUAUGAAUCAUAUUUUACAAAAUUGACGUGUAUCAUAGGUCGCAUUUCACUUCACUCAGUCGCCCCUUGUGUUGCGCCUUGCAUUUAAGCUAUUGGAGACUUUUGCACCUUAGAUGUGCCUUGCACCUUAGAUGUGCCUUGCACCUUUUAAAACUAUGGAUUUGAUAAAUGCCGAUAGUAUUUACAUUGCACUAAAAACACAGUUUGAUUUGAAGCAUUUAACCACCUCUCUGAACAUUCUAUUUCCAAUGCAUUCUGAAAAUAUAACCUAUCAUAAAAGUUAAAAGUUGAUCAUACCUAUGAGUUAGGGGUGCAUAUUGGACAGGUUGGUCCGACCCAACCUCAACUUGAUCUACUUGGAUGGGUUUGAGCAAGCUUUUUUAAUACUCAGGUUGGGCUUGAGCAAAGGGUUUGGGCAACCCAAGCCUUAAUUGAACCCGAUUUAAUAUUUUGUAAAAUUUAUAAUGUAUUUAAGUUUCUUCAUAUAUAUGCUUUUCAAAAGAAAAGUAAAGGAAAAAUGUCAAAGUUAAUAGAUUUAUUUUUCUUUUUUGUUAUUAUGUAGAAAUAAUGUCAUUUACGAUUUAAAUUUUGAUAUAAAUAUAUUAAAGAUAAAGUUAAAAAAGCCAAUGCAGGCAGGUUCAAACCAGGCCAAUGGAACCCUACUUAACCUGAAUUUGACCCAUAACCAAGCCUAACCUGAACUCAACCCGAAAUUAAAUCAGGUUGGUUGAGCUGAAGUUGAAUACCUUGGGUAAUAGGUCAGGUUAAGUUCAGGUUAAUCGUUUAUUCAUUUGGGUUGGGGCAGGUUGGUACCAAACCAACCCAACUGACACAAGUUGCAUCCUCACUAAGACUGGAAUCAUCAUAUUGAGUUGAUUAUUAAUUAGCUUGACUUCCUAAAUGGGACCCAUUAGAUGUUGGAUCUUAAUUCUUUUCUUCAUUUUGAUUUAACAUGAGUUUAUUGAGAACUUAAUAAAUUGUAUAGGCUGACUAUACAAUACAAUUUUGCUUGGGAGGCUACUUGGGAGAAGGUCCUAACCUUGGACAGGCUUCAAAGACGGGGCUGGCAUCUUCCAAAUCGGUGUUUUUUGUGUGGUUGUGAAGAGGAAAAUGUAAAUCAUAUUCUUUUACACUGUAUAGUUGUAAGGGCUCUCUGGGAGAUUGUCUUGGCCUUGUUUGGGGCUAAUUGGGUGUUCCCAGAGACAGUCAAAGAGAUGUUAGUUAGUUGGAGGGGCCCUUUUGUGGGGAGAAAGAGGAAAAUGAUUUGGACUUCCAUUCCGUUGUGUAUUUUUUGGACGGUAUGGAAGGAGAGAAAUAGAUUAGCUUUCAGGGGGGGCUCUCUAGCUAUUCAGAAGUUAAAAAAUUCUUUUGUUUGUAACUUGUGGAGUUGGGCUAGGGUGUAUAUGGGAGAGGAGUCCUCUUCGCUUUUAGGUUUUUUGGAAUGGCUUGCCGUUCCCUAAGGGGUGGUGAGUGUUUGUUCUCUUGUUUUUGCUUAGGCUUCUUUGUAUACUUCCUGUAUGCUUUGUGGUUUUUUGCCUAGUAAUAUAUUUGCACUCACUUAUCUAAAAAAAAUAAAUUGUAUAGGCUGACAGCUUGUUCUGCAUGCAAAUUAAUCCCUAGGAGAAACUCCCAUUUACAAAAUGCCACUAACAAUUUUCAGGUUGAUUUUGAGGUGAGGAUACUUUCUAGAUUAGAUCUAGUGAGGGAGUCUGGCAUCUCCCACUUCCACAUGGACCACCACCCAUUAACACAAAAGAAUGUGCAAUUGAUGUUAUGGCUACAAUCUCUCAUACCCAUAAAAUAACUAUGCUUACCUCUUUGAAGAUUUCACUGUAGGAAGCCUCCUCAAAGCCCUGCACAAACCAUACAUGGCAUUUAGUCAACAUAAUGACAAGAAGUUGAUGCAAGUAUGGAUGCAUAAAAGCACUUACGUGCCUCCUUACCUGCCCACAAGAGCAUGGAAGCCUUUUCAAUCUAAUUAAUAACUAACAUUGUCAUGAACAUGUUGAGAUGAGAAUAUGUGCAUGUGAAAGAGUGUGUGUGAGAAAGAGAUAGAUUGAUAGAUAGAUA